ACGUCUUGCUGGUUUAGUGUUCGGCUUGACGCGAUUUUUAAACACUAAUUUAAGGUAUAAACUAUGUCUUUAUCAGUAGAGCAAAAAGCAGCUAUCGUUGCUGAAUACGCAACAAAAGAA
rfam:Thalassotalea sp. PP2-459 NODE_33_length_168053_cov_30.963987, whole genome shotgun sequence.